CAGCAGCCGCGGUAACACGGAGGGUGCAAGCGUUAAUCGGAAUUACUGGGCGUAAAGCGCACGCAGGCGGUUUGUUAAGUCAGAUGUGAAAUCCCCGCGCUUAACGUGGGAACUGCAUUUGAAACUGGCAAGCUAGAGUCUUGUAGAGGGGGGUAGAAUUCCAGGUGUAGCGGUGAAAUGCGUAGAGAUCUGGAGGAAUACCGGUGGCGAAGGCGGCCCCCUGGACAAAGACUGACGCUCAGGUGCGAAAGCGUGGGGAGCAAACAGGAUUAGAGACCCGCGUAGUCCCUGUCUCUUAUAC
rnacentral:rRNA from 1 species